rnacentral:rRNA from 1 species
GACGAACGCUGGCGGCGUGCCUAACACAUGCAAGUCGAACGAAGCUUGACGAAUGAUUCUUCGGAUGAAUUCUGAUAUGACUGAGUGGCGGACGGGUGAGUAACGCGUGAGCAACCUGCCCUUCAGAGGGGGGUAGUGUCUGGGAACGGACAGUAAUACCGCAUAACGUACAUUGACGGCAUCUUCGAUGUACCAAAGCUUUUGCGCUGAAGGAUGGGCUCGCGUCUGAUUAGAUAGUUGGUGGGGUAAUGGCCUACCAAGUCGACGAUCAGUAGCCGGACUGAGAGGUUGAACGGCCACAUUGGGACUGAGACAUGGCCCAG